AUUUACACAGCUGAUAUAUGUGUUGUGUGCGUCGUUGCAGAGGAAAUUAUGAAAAUGGGCCACGAGUAGCGGUGUUUUCUCUCUUAAAUGAGCAGAGUUCCAACAGAACUGGAUAGCUGACUGCAAUACAUCGUGAAAAUUUCCAGGUUACACAGAAUUAGAAGGUGAAACCCUUCCUGUGGAGAGGUGAUCCUUGGCACCAGUAGUGUGGAAGAGGAGCGAGAGGCACACCAACACCAGCAGAUGAGUCUCCGUUUAAUACUUGGGAUAUUAUAACAGUAAGUUAUAGCUCCGAUAGUCUUCCAGCAGCAGCAAAUGUUACACAGUCCUAUAGAGGCAAACUUGAAGUAUAAGGUAAUAGUGUUUUGCAUACAAUGGCAAACUUGACCUUUCGCUUAAAAUGGAGGUACAUUUGCACUGAGUUUAAUGUUAUGACACAUGAAUGGAUUACCAGUGAUGUAUAUGUAAAGACUGGAAUUUGUAACUUAGAACUUAAUUUCAGUAUCGGCUUUGAAAUUUGGUCACUGGAUACAACUAUAUUAUCUUUCAUGUUGAUAGCAGCAAUCAUCAGAUUGCAAUCCAGUUAAGUACCUGUGAGGCAUGAGAUGUCAAAAAUACUUGUGAGUUAUUGGUAGCCUGUGUCAAGGCAUGUGGCACCUCAAAGUUUAUAACUACUCAUAUAUGCAGCAACUGCUGAAGCAGCCUCUGGCAGUUUAUUGAAGUUCCGUGAACAAAGUGUUGUGUGGUCUGUUUGUGUAAAGUGAUAAAGAAAAAUGUUAAAGUGUAAUUGCAUAUGUAAUUGUGUAUAUAUUUAAUCAUUAUUUUUGCUAGUUGUAAGAUCUAUUUUCAUGUAAAUCAGAACAUUGUAUAAUAGGUAACAACUGAAUGAGGCAGUGUAGCUAUUAACAGCACUGACCUCAUAUUCGGGAGGAUGGGGUUCGCUCUGUCUGGCCAUCCUGGAUCGCUAAGGCAAAUGCCGGGAUGGUUCCUUCAUCAAGGCCACGGCUGACCACCUGUCCCGCCCUUAAAGAGAUCCUUUAAACAUUGUGUGUAUACCCAUAUUUUGAAUUAUUGAUGUUUGUUGUAUUAUGUUGAGAUAUUCUUGGAUGAAAUAAAAAAAGUUUAUACAUUUGUA